rnacentral:rRNA from 1 species
UGCGUAGGCGGUUUGAUAAGUUAGAGGUGAAAUCCCGGGGCUUAACUCCGGAACUGCCUCUAAUACUGUUAGACUAGAGAGUAGUUGCGGUAGGCGGAAUGUAUGGUGUAGCGGUGAAAUGCUUAGAGAUCAUACAGAACACCGAUUGCGAAGGCAGCUUACCAAACUAUAUCUGACGUUGAGGCACGAAAGCGUGGGGAGCAAACA